UGAGGAAUUUUCUGCAAUGGGCGAAAGCCUGACAGAGCAAUACCGCGCGAGGGAUGAAGACUUACUGAGUUGUAAACCUCGGUGCCUUAAGGAAGAAGAUCUGACGGUGCUUAAGGUGGAAAGCAUCGGCUAACUCAGUGCCAGCAGCCGCGGUAAGACGGGGGAUGCAAGUGUUAUCCGGAAUUACUGGGCGUAAAGCGUCUGCAGGUGGUUUCUUAAGUCUACUGUUAAAUCUUGAGGCUCAACCUCAAAUCUGCAGUAGAAACUAGGAGACUUGAGUAUAGUAGGGGUAGAGGGAAUUUCCAGUGGAGCGGUGAAAUGCGUAGAUAUUGGAAAGAACACCGAUGGCGAAGGCACUCUACUGGGCUAUUACUGACACUCAGAGACGAAAGCUAGGGGAGCAAAUG
rnacentral:rRNA from 1 species